UACAGCACUGGACGUGGCAGCAGUAACACCGUGUCUUGUGUUUGUUUGCAUUAUUCCCCUCUCAGGGGCGUAACAUUUUCUGGAGGCACCGCUGGGAUUGAGUGUAGCGAGGUCCGACUUCUGCCACUAACAGACGUCUCCUGCUCUCAUUCAGGCCCCUUCAACUUCCUAGCGGGAAGCAGGACUCGGGAGCUGUCCUUAGGUAGCAGAAAUCAAUGAUAGAUACAACAGGAUAUCAAAAAUGAGACUGUCCCGAGCUGAAUAUAAAGAGAUUGCGAGGUGGACUGAACAACUUAGACCUACACGGCAAUGUAUGAAGAUGCUGAAGGACAGAUUUCCUAAUCACUCGCAGUCCACUCUUCUGAGCAUCUUCUCCCUGGAGUACCAGAAAAGGACAAAAAGGACCAUCUCAAGACACCACACACCAGAUGUUAUUGAAUGCCACUAUCAAAGGUAUCUGAGUGAAGCCAAGGCACGUCCCACUGCUCCUGUCCUGCUGGACUUAGCCAAUGAGGUGGAUCUGUCUCCUGCUCUGAUGGCUCGUAUCAUCCUGGACAAGUUCCUUCAGGACAUGGAUGGUGAAAUGCCCUCCAAAACAUUGCUUAACAGCAUGCUGAAGGACCCAUCAUUAAUUCCAGACCAAAUAUUGGCCAAUAAUAUAUACCAAUGCACAAUAAAUGACUGCUGUUAUGGACCGCUGGUAGACUGCAUUAAACGUGCUAUUGGCGAAGAACAUGAGGUACUGCUGCGUGACAAAUUGAAGGAGAAGAACCUUUCCUUCCUAGAUGAAAACCAGUUGAGAACUAUGGGUUACGACAAAACACCUGAUAUCAUCCUGGAAGUUCCCAUUGCUGUGGAGGGACACAUUGUACAUUGGAUUGAGAGCAAAGCUUCCUUUGGAGAUGACCACAGCCAUCGCACCUACCUCAGUGAACAGUUCUGGAGCUACUGGAACAGAUUUGGUCCAGGCCUUGUGAUCUACUGGUAUGGUUUCAUAGGAGAGCUGGACUGCCAGAGGGACAGAGGUAUACUACUUAAGGACUGCUUCCCUACAGACAUAGUCAUCCUGUGCCAUGCCACCCACCAGAACCAUUCACCAGAGAGCCAGAAAAAAGACAAAGAGUGAUAAAAGAUUGGAAGUGGACUUAAAAUUGUUGAAAAAGAAAAUUAAAGAUGAGAGGUUGAAUGGGAGGAAAAAGGGAGGGCAGCAAGGAGGUGGGAAGGGUAGGAAUACUGAACUAUGCAGGGGCGGAUACUUGGAUCCGGAAGCAAUUUGGCUUUCCUGCAGUGUAAAUCUGCCCUGAACUUCAGCUGACCCUCUUUCUUUGUCUGCGUCCCUCCAUCUUCCUCUCAUUCAAGUAACUGCAUGUAAACUACAUUACAGCACUGGACGUGGCAGCAGUAACACCGUGUCUUGUGUUUGUUUGCAUUAUUCCCCUCUCAGGGGCGUAACAUUUUCUGGAGGCACCGCUGGGAUUGAGUGUAGCGAGGUCCGACUUCUGCCACUAACAGACGUCUCCUGCUCUCAUUCAGUCCCUUUCAACGUACCCAGGCAGGCAACAUCUAGUGGACAUACAGUGUCUCAGUAAAAACAGUGACACUGUUAGAACAUGGGAAGAUUGACAUAAAAGCUGGAUCUAAAUCAGACAGACUGAGUGUUACAGAAAAAUGUUUCCUGGUUAUAAAGAAGGUCACAGUGGAGGAUGAAGGUCUUUACAACUGCAGACAGUUUGAAUCAUCAGGACGUGAAGUUACAUACUCUUACGUUCAGCUUUCUGUUACUAACAGUGAGUAUUUACAUUAUGUUGUUUUCAUCUUUAACUCUCAUUAAAAUAACAAAUCCCAGUAAUGAUGGAGGCAGUGAGGAAGUUUCAUGUAGGACUGACAUGGUGACAUGAUGCUGCUGUAAACUCAACAUGUCAUUGAUCAAACACUGGGGAACCACUUUGCUAUGGAAAGACAACAUUGUAAUGAUUAUGCAUCAGUCUGGUUUCACAUCUCAGUGUUUAUCUGUUUGAGUUUUAUACCUUAAACCAGUUAAGAUUAUAUAUUUAUUUCAUCAUUAUUUUACACAUGACAUAAAAAAGAAGAAAAUGUUUACACAUUGUAAUUUGUACAAAAGAUUAACAAUAAAUUAGUUUAAUCUUCGUCUUUAUGAAUAUAAAAUAAUUAUAUGAAUUAUAUGGGAUGUGUUUAGUGUAUUAACAGCUAGUAAAGGUAAACUAAGUUACUAUCGUCGAUUUCUGUGACACUAAAAAUAAUCACCAGCAAAUGUGAGACGUGAUGGAAGAUUUCUGUUGUAACAAAGUGAGACACACACACGCUGAUGGACAGGUGUGGUACCAGGUAGCAGAGCUGAGCUUCACUUUCCCCAAAACGCUGCUCCCGGUGUAAACCGUAGGCUUGUUUCUCAGCUUUUAGCCGGCUUUUAACUGUGUGUGCCAGGUAGGCCGUGGUUCAUCUCCUUCCCAUCUCAGCAUGGACGAAGCUGCAGGACUGAUGUCACAAGAUGGUUUAGAAAAAAUAAACAUUUAAUUCUCACAAGAGAAGUUCAGAAAUCAAAGAAAAACUUGGGCCAGAAAAAUGAAGAAAGUUCUGAACUGUUGCAGUUAAUAUGGUGUUUUUACUAUCCUGUUCAUUAUUUUUCAUUAAAAAAAAACCAAUAACUUCAACAAAAACAACAUCCCCACAAGCAUCAGUCGCACCAACAACUGAGAGAAAAACUGGAUCAAACUCAGGUUUGUUGUCUAAACAUCAACUUCAAUAAACAAAACCAAACAGCAGAAUUAAUGAUAAUUAGUGACUCCAUCAGGAAGCUUUUUGUUCCUCCUGACUUUCCGUCCAUGUUGUGGUUGUAGAUUUUCUUCUGGCAUCACUGAUCAGUGCAGCUGUUGCUUCAGCAGCUCUCUUAAUAACUACAGUGAUGAUCAUCAGAUGGAGGAAAACUAAAGGAAAUAAAACUCAGAUGGAUGAUGGAGCUGAGUUGAGCUUCAACUCUGCAGGGACUCGGUCUGGUCCAGAAACCAGUCAGGACAUGGCUGAUCCUGCAGAUGUUGUUCACUACGCCUCCAUCAACCCCACCAGCACCACCAGCUCUGGGGCCCGGGUUCACAGUAAAGACCAUGAUGAACACAGAGUGACCUACAGCACUGUUAAAGCUCCUGCUGCAGCCUCCACUAAUCCCACCCACCUCUACGCUACUAUCCAAGAAUACAGAUGAAAGACCUAAAUAUAGAAAAUAUAGCUACAUAUAAAGCAAAUGUAUUAUUUUUUAUUAUUCUUUAUAUUAAUGAUCAGCUUCACGUUUUUGUUCUUUAUAUUUCAAACCUUACAGACAGUUUUAUGUUUUUAUUUAUUAUUUAUCUAACAUUUGCAGUGUGGAAGGUUUAGUGGAAAAUUUUCUUUGUGUGGAAUUGAGGUGAAAUAAAAAAAAAGAAAGUUGAGUCCCAGUGAC